rnacentral:sRNA from 16 species
GUCAAUCACCCCGGCCUGAAGGCCGAGGCUUGAGGAGGAGCACCUCUUGAGUCUGAGAUUGACCAGACCCAGCGCGGUGACGCGCUACGUUGUGCAGAAGGCAGCCGACCCACCGUCGAAUCCUUCCUCAGUUCGACGCUCUGGA